GUUUUAAUAAUUUAAUUUAAAAUACUGGUCUUGUAAACCAGAAAUAAGGCCUUCCUUUUAAAACA
rnacentral:tRNA from 1 species